rnacentral:rRNA from 1 species
AAGGAAUAUUGGACAAUGGAGGCAACUCUGAUCCAGCCAUGCCGCGUGAAGGAAUAAGGCCCUAUGGGUUGUAAACUUCUUUUAGACGGGACAAAACCCCUUUACGUGUAAAGGGUUGAUGGUACUGUCAGAAUAAGCAUCGGCUAACUCCGUGCCAGCAGCCGCGGUAAUACGAAGGAUGCAAGCGUUAUCCGGAAUUAUUGGGUUUAAAGGGUGCGUAGGCGGACUAAUAAGUCAGUGGUGAAAGCCUGCAGCUUAACUGCAGAAUUGCCAUUGAUACUGUUAGUCUUGAGUACAGUUGAGGUAGGCGGAAUGUGUCAUGUAGCGGUGAAAUGCUUAGAUAUGACACAGAACACCGAUUGCGAAGGCAGCUUGCUAAGCUGUAACUGACGCUGAGGCACGAAAGCGUGGGGAGCAAACA